rnacentral:rRNA from 1 species
UCCGCCAGGACACUACGAGCACUAGCUUAAAACCCAAAGGACCUGACGGUGCCUUAGAUCCCCCUAGAGGAGCCUGUUCUAGAACCGAUUAUCCCCGUUAAACCUCACCACCCCUAGCAAUAUCAGCCUAUAUACCACCGUCGCCAGCUUACCCUGUGAAGGCAUAAAAGUAAGCACAAUGGGUAAAACCCAAUACGUCAGGUCGAGGUGUAGCAAAUGGAGUGGGAAGAAAUGGGCUACAUUUUCUAUCACAGAAUAAAACGGAUACGCAACAUGAAAUUUUAAUGCUUGAAGGAGGAUUUAGUAGUAAAAGGGAA